UCAAAAUACGCACUUUUGUGGAGGUCUGCAAGCAAAUUUUCCAGCCAUGUCAAUCCUUGGCCGUACGAUUGUCUCUAGAUCGGAAACAAGACCAGAUCUCGAGGUGAUCGUACGGCCCACAACUCGUCUCCUCCUUCCAUAACAUCAGGGUCAACCAGAAGAGACGACAAAGAAUUUGGGGGAGAAGAGCGCAAGCAGAGAGGCCGUGGAUCUUCUCUCUCUCUCUCUCUCUCUCUCUCUCGGUUCAAUGGUUUCAAGGCAUGGUAUUUCGCUGCUGUUUUUGUUGCUAAUUGGAUGUUUCAAUGCAGUCUCUGGAAAUCUAGGGAUUUUGGAAAUCAAUGAUCACAAAAUGACAACACUGAGUA